CCUACGGGCGGCAGCAGUCGAGAAUCAUUCACAAUGGGGGAAACCCUGAUGGUGCGACGCCGCGUGGGGGAAUGAAGGUCUUCGGAUUGUAAACCCCUGUCAUGUGGGCGCAAAUUAAAAAGAUAGUACCACAAGAGGAAGAGACGGCUAACUCUGUGACAGCAGCAGCGGUAAUACAGAGGUCUCAAGCGUUGUUCGGAAUCACUGGGCGGAAAGCGUGCGGAGGCUGUUUCGUAAGUCGGGUGUGAAAGGCGCGGGCUCAACCCGCGGACGGCACAUGAUACUGCGAGACUAGAGUAAUGGAGGGGGAACCGGAAUUCGCGGUGUAGCAGUGAAAUGCGUAGAUAGCGAGAGGAACACUCGUGGCGAAGGCGGGUUCCUGGACAUUAACUGACGCUGAGGCACGAAGGCCAGGGGAGCGAAAGGGAUUAGAUACCCGAGUAGUC
rnacentral:rRNA from 1 species